CCCCAAGACUGACUGGUGAAGAAAACACUGAAGUGGAGCCAUGCUGUGACUGAUAUGCUCUGCGCUGCACAAUGUGGCUGCCUGGGUCGUGUCUUGCUGUUGCUCCUCAGCAAAGGACGGGACAUCAUCAGGAGAGACAUACAAGUGUAAAGGAAAGCAAGUGUGGACAGUGUCUGAUGAUGCAGCGCCAUCCAGUCAAAAGCCUUCCUAAUUCCUCUCAGCAGUGCAGAGAGGAACAACAGCCACAUUUUCUCCACCCAGACACCCUGCAAAGUGUUUAA